UUUGUUACUUCAAACCAAUCGGACUUCGGUCUGACAUCAAGUGAUAUUGAACAAUUUAGCUGAUCGCACGGUCUAAGAACCGGCGACAUAUCCUUCAAAUGUCUGCCUUAUCAACUUUCGAUGGUAGAUUAUGCGCCUACCAUGGUUGUAACGGGUAACGGAGAAUCAGGGUUUGAUUCCGGAGAGGGAGCCUGAGAAACGGCUACCACAUCCAAGGAAGGCAGCAGGCACGCAAAUUACCCACUCCCGGCACGGGGAGGUAGUGACGAAAAAUAACAAGCUGGUCUCAAUGAGUUCCAGCAUUGUAAUGGGAACAAUUUAAAUCUUUUAUCGAGGAUCUAUUGGAGGGCAAGUCUGGUGCCAGCAGCCGCGGUAAUUCCAGCUCCAAUAGCGUAUAUUAAAGUUGUUGCGGUUAAAAAGCUCGUAGUUGGAUCUAGGAUUAGGGCUACGGUCGUUCAGCUUGGACGUACUGUAUGCCCGACUCCUUUUCUCUGGUAUUCGAUUGUUGCUCUUAAAUGAGUGACUUUAGUUGCUGGAACUUUUACCUUGAAAAAAUUGAAGUGCUCAAAGCAGGUU
rnacentral:rRNA from 1 species